AUUAAGAUAGUUUAGAGAAAAUACUAACUUUGGAAGUUAGAGAUAACAUUUUGUUUCUUGAUA
rnacentral:tRNA from 1 species